GGCCAGAUAGCUCAGUCGGUAGAGCAGCGGACUGAAAAUCCGCGUGUCGGUGGUUCGAUUCCACCUCUGGCCACCA
rnacentral:tRNA from 2 species